rnacentral:rRNA from 1 species
UACGGAGGAGGCAAGCGUUAUCCGGAAUUAUUGGGCGUAAAGCGUCCGUAGGUGGUUGACCAAGUCUGCUGUCAAAGGCUGGGGCUUAACCUCAGAAAGGCAGUGGAAACUGGUGAGCUAGAGUGCGGUAGGGGCAGGGGGAAUUCCCGGUGUAGCGGUGAAAUGCGUAGAGAUCGGGAAGAACACCAGUGGCGAAGGCGCUCUGCUGGGCCGGAACUGACACUCAUGGACGAAAGCUAGGGGAGCGAAAGGG